UUUUCAUCUGCCACAGACUGGCUUAUCUCUCAGCCCUGAGGUAGGGAAAGAUCAGAGUCUAUGCACUGGCUCCAGAGGCGGGCGGCUCUCCGGGCAGCCGGGACCUGCAGGGAGCUCAGGAAACACACUCACUUGGCAGCCAUGAGGCCAGCAGGCACCGCAGCUGCCCUCCUGGAGUAGAAGGUGGUGGAAGAGAGGAGAAGACAAAACAGAAGAUGGGGAAGCAACCCAGAGAUGAACAACAGCAGGAAGCUGACGCCACCCUUAGGACGGAAGAAACACAAGAAAAAGGGAUCAUCAGAAGAGGUGGCAAUAGCAUCAAUGGUGGCAGCAGCAGUGGAGCCGUUCCGGAGCCGCCUAAGGACAGUCAUGGUGGCUGCUGCACAUUUGAUUGUUGCUUUUGCCUCGAUAUGGACAACUUCAAGGCCACCUGAAGCAUUAUAACCCAAGAAAUGCAUAAAAGAGAGAGUGUAUGGUAAAAUCAUUCUAGUCAAGCGAUAGACUUGUCAAAAAUUAUGGACAAAGUGACAGCUUUCUUAAACACAAGUUUUCUCUCCACCCCUUUGUACUCUACCCUGAAAACCCAACCUAAU